rnacentral:rRNA from 1 species
CCUACGGGCGGCAGCAGUGAGGAAUAUUGGUCAAUGGACGAGAGUCUGAACCAGCCAAGUAGCGUGAAGGAUGACUGCCCUAUGGGUUGUAAACUUCUUUUAUAUGGGAAUAAAACGUUCCACGUGUGGGAUUUUGUAUGUACCAUAUGAAUAAGGAUCGGCUAACUCCGUGCCAGCAGCCGCGGUAAUACGGAGGGUCCGAGCGUUAUCCGGAUUUAUUGGGUUUAAAGGGAGCGUAGGGGGAUUGUUAAGUCAGUUGUGAAAGUUUGAGGCUCAACCGUAAAAUUGCAGUUGAAACUGGCAGUCUUGAGUACAGUAGAGGUGGGCGGAAUUCGUGGUGUAGCGGUGAAAUGCGUAGAUAUCACGAAGAACUCCGAUUGCGAAGGCAGUUCACUGGACUGCAACUGACACUGAGGCUCGAAAGUGUGGGUAUCAAACAGGAUUAGAUACCCGGGUAGUC